CAGCCGCCGCGGUAAUACGAAGGGGGCUAGCGUUGCUCGGAAUGACUGGGCGUAAAGGGCGCGUAGGCGGCGGCCAAAGUCAGGCGUGAAAUUCCCGGGCUCAACCUGGGGGCUGCGUUUGAUACUUGGUUGCUUGAGUGGGGAAGAGGGUCGUGGAAUUCCCAGUGUAGAGGUGAAAUUCGUAGAUAUUGGGAAGAACACCGGUGGCGAAGGCGGCGACCUGGUCCUUUACUGACGCUGAGGCGCGAAAGCGUGGGGAGCAAACAGGAUUAGAGACCCCCGUAGUCCCUGUCUCUUAUAC
rnacentral:rRNA from 1 species